GUCCUUCUGGUUCAGAAACGUGAUGAAUGGGUUUUUCACGCGCAUGCGUGACGUGUGCCGCCCAUGUUUGUUACGACGCGGGCACAUCACCCUUCUGACU